UACAGGGGGUGCAAGCGUUGCUCGGAAUCACUGGGCGUAAAGCGAGCGCAGGCGGACCGUUAAGUCGGGUGUGAAAUCCCGGGGCUCAACCCCGGAACUGCAUUCGAAACUGGCGGCCUUGAGUACGGGAGAGGUGAGUGGAAUUCCUGGUGUAGAGGUGAAAUUCGUAGAUAUCAGGAGGAACACCGGUGGCGAAAGCGGCUCACUGGCCCGAUACUGACGCUCAUGCUCGAAAGCGUGGGGAGCAAACAGG
rnacentral:rRNA from 1 species